rnacentral:rRNA from 1 species
UACGUAGGUGGCAAGCGUUGUUCGGAAUUAUUGGGCGUAAAGGGCGCGUAGGCGGUCUUGUAAGUCAGCUGUGAAAGCCCGGGGCUCAACCCCGGAGGGUCGGCUGAUACUGCAGGACUGGAGUACGGAAGAGGUAGCUGGAAUUCCCGGUGUAGCGGUGAAAUGCGUAGAGAUCAGGAGGAACACCCGUGGCGAAGGCGGCCCUCUGGCUCGACCCUGACGCUGAGGCGCGAAAGCGUGGGGAGCGAACGGG